ACGCAGGUUCGAUCCCUGACCUCGCUCAGUGGGUUAAGGAUCCAGCAUUGCCGUGAGCUGUGGUGUAGAUCGCACAUGCAGCUUGCAUCUGGCUUUGCUGUGUCUGUGGUAUGAGCCAACAGCUGCAGCUCCGAUUCGACCCCUAGCCUGGAAACGUCCAUAUACCACAGGUGUGGCCAAAAAAAAGAAGAAAAAAGAAAACAAAACCACAGGGGAGUUAGAAAACCAGAAAGUUCACAUAGCCUUUCAGAGCUGAGGGACUUCAUAGGGGAGAGAAAGCACAGCAGGACCUCCCUGGACAUCCGAUCCUGCCCCAUGUCAUAGCCUCAGGUUGGAGAGUGAUUAAAAAAAAAAUGACCAACCUGUGACCUCAGUCCUGGAGGGGUCCCAUAUUCCUUUGUAGGUAUAUCAGUUCUUGUUCUUGUGAGCAGGGCAAGGUUGGCAGGGGCAUGGUUUCAUUUGCGUCAGGGUGUGGAGUGAAAUGAAUGCAGACCUGAGUUUGUCAGGAAGGAAAUAGGGGUCACAGGAGGGGGAGGUGGUGUGUGGAGGAGAGGAGGCACAGGGUUGUGUGGCUGGGGGAGAGGGGACAGGGCAUGAUGACAGGCAGGGGACUCACAUCUAGACUGGCAGGAAGCCCAGGAGGAACUGCAGAACCAGAGGUUUCACACAGAACCUCAGGCUGUCUGGUCCCCAGGGGAGAGGGCUGAGGGGGCUCUGAUGGGGCCAGCCUGGUCAGCAGGGACAAGGGCGCCCCACCCCAGGCUGAGGUGCUGCAAGAGGCCCACUACAGCCUUCCCUGGGCUGCCACAGUCAAACCUGCCUUGCAGGGCUUCUCUUCCCAGAAUCACCCCCAUCAGCAUCUCUCUGGCUUCUGGCUUCAGGCUCCUGCUCCAUCCCUGAGUCCACAACCUGACCUCACAACCCACCCCCAGCCACAGUCUCUCUAGGUGGAGGGGGUGGAGGCUCAGCUUCCUGAGCUCUGCCCUCACCCCUCCCUGACCCCGGCAGUCCAUGUUUCCUUAAGCCUCACCCCCUUAGCCCUCAUGUCCAGGAGGAGGGUGUGGUGGGGGAGGGUGGGCUCCUCUGCCUUGGACCCUUGAGCUGAGACCUGGCCAGGGGCAAAGGCUCAAGAGUCCCCCUCCUUAUCUCCCUCUGGGGCACUUCUGGGCCCCUGGCAGUACCUCCCUCUCUCCAGAGCCAAAAGGGACCCCUCCCUGUCCCCCAGGCAGGAGGUAGCUCCACUCAGGCCCCCAAGCCACAGGGGCGCCCAAUAUUCCCUGACUCUUGAAGGUUUAUAGCUUCUUGGUCCAAUGUACCUGUCUCUAAAUUUACCCUUGGAGGGGAUCUGCCCACUUAUAUUCUAAAUUAGAAUAUCACUCUUCUUUCUGCCCACCUUUUCUUAAUUUUUAUAAACAUUUGUUGAACAAUUUAGCCAAAUAAAGUUUAUGCUGUCAUAGUUUCUUUCUGGGACCAGGUACAGUGAAAAAGGAAAAGAGAGUUCCCAUGGUGUCACGGUGGGUUAAGAAUCUGACAGCAGUGGCUGCGGUUGCUGUGGAGGUGAGGGUUCCAUCCCCAACCCGGCACAGUGGGUUAAAAGAAUCCAGCAUUGCCACAGCUGUGGCAUACGUUGCAGCUAUGGCUUGGAUUCAAUCCCUGGCCCAGGAACUUCCAUAUGCCACAGCAGGUGUGGCCAUAACAUUUUUCAAAAAAGAAAAAGAAGUAAAUGCUACACUUACUGGCACCCUCCUUUUCAGUGGAUUUAGCUUGGAGGUUCAGAAGAUACCACUGCUUUGAAAGCUUCCAAUUCAUCCUUUUUUCUUCCCUCCCCCGUCCUCUUCCCUGAAAUUGUCUAAAUUUCCAUUUCACCAAAAUGAUGCAAACCUGAUACUUUAUUUCACUUUAUGUGAUAUUGACUUUUCCUUUAUUUGGUAAAUAUGUAUUUUACCCAUUUGGAAGACACAGGAGACCUGGGCAUUCAGAUGAGACCGAGAAAAGAAAGCUUUCAGAGAAUUUUGUGUCUGCUAGCCUUCAUUUAUGAUUAUGGGUUUUCUUCCUUUCUCCCUUUAGUCUCAUUAGGCAUUAAGAGAUGAAAUGGGUCUUUUUGUCAGGAGAAACUAGCCUUUGAAUGACCUUCUUUUACAUCAUCUCCCUCCUUCUAAAUACAGUCUUCUCUUGGUUUCUAUGACAACCCUGUCUCAUCCUUUCCCCUCAGAGAUCUUUUCAGUGGUGCCUACUUCUCAGUCUCCUUUCCUGAAUCCUUUCUCUUCCUGAUCACUCCACAAAGAUAGUGAUAAAAAUUUAAAUCACAACAACUGUGAUUUAUUGAAAGCUUAUUUUGUGCCAGGCACCCUUGUGCUAAGCCCUUUAAAUGCAGUAUAGCACUUUAAUUCUCAGAGCAACCUCAGAAGAUAAUGUCUAAUUUACCAUUGACAUUAAUUUAAUUACUAUUAAUUGUCACAUAUUGCAGAUAAGGAGAUGGGCUGGAAAGUUAGGAAAUGACCUGGGGUCAUGCAGCUAGUUAGUGGUGGAGCCGGGAUGAGACUCCUGGCUGACUGACUCCAAAGUUUGUGCUCCUCAUUUAGGUUAGCUCUUGGGUACCACACCUUAUGAUGUAGGUGCUGUCACUAUCUGCACAUGACACAUAAGGAAACUGGGCUCUAUGCACACAAAGUGAUUAGCCAAAGGUCAUAAGAGUAAGUGGCUUGUGUGUCACACACAAGGAUGGAAUCUUUAAAGAACACUUCUUUGAUAGAAAAGAGGUUUUUCUACCUUUCUUUUUCUUUCCCUCUGGGUUGCAGCUGCUGGCAACCAUCCCCUCCCCCUCCUUCAGUUGCAUUACCAUAUUCCAUUUUUAGCUUUCGGUGUAAACGGUAGUAAAUUUAACAUAUGCGAAAGGAGAAAGCCUCAGAAGUCAGUGGAGGACAGAUGAAUUGUUCAGUUAGAGGGGCUGAGGGGGAGGAAUGACUUCAUUACCUGAUGGGAAAAAAGAUUAGUUUAUUUUCUCCAAUGAUAUUAAAUAUGAAUUCCAGAUCAAUCUGAGAAAUAAAUGUAGAUUUUAUGCCAGUGUAUACUAAUUUUUAAAUAAUAGAUUGUUGUUAUGAAAGGAAUAAAAAGAAUCAAAUGUCCAAAAUCAACUCCUUUCAAAACUGCAAGAAAAUAAACAUUUAUUCAAUCUCUGGACUGAAGAAGCCGUUCUAUGGUUAAGAGUGAUGACAGAAAUUACAAAGGAAAGACCAAUAGUUCAAAAGAUAGCAUUAUAGAAGACAAAUAGCAAGCUGAAAAAUAUUAGCACCAAAUCAGAAAAACAAUAAUAACAGCAAACGUUUAUUGUAGAUAGUUAACAUUUAUUAAGAUCUUAUAAAAGUACCAGGCAUAUUCUAAGAGUUCUACAUGGUUUCAUUUGAUUCUCACAAUAAACCCUGAGAUAGAUCCUAAUAUUAUCUCCAGGUUUUAAAACAUUCUUAUUUAAGGGGAAAAAAGAGAAAAUGCAUAAAAUGUAAAUAUACAUACACCUUAAAUUAUUAUAAAGUAAAACAUCACAAAGAUCAAGAAGUAAAACUUUGCCAGAACUCCUGAAAUCCCUGUGAACCUCUGCUCAAUCACAACCUCUUUCCUUCCCCUAAAGGAAGCCAUUCUCAUGGUUAUGGCUAUCACGUUCAUUAUUUUAUUAUUUAUUAUUAUUUUAUAAUUACAUUAUGGCUUUUAUCACAUCUUUUAUGAGUUUUACCACAUCUUUUAUUAAAUUUAGUUCAAGAUAUGUGAUUUUAAUAUGCUAUUGUAAAUGUUCUAUUUGUUUAAAUUUCAUUUUAUAGGAGUUCCAGCUGUGGUGCAGUGUGUUAAGAAUCCUACUGCAGCAGCUCCGUUGCUGCAGAGGUGCAGGUUCAAUCCCCAGUGCAGUGGGUUAAAGGAUCUAGUGCAGUUGCUGCUGCUGUGGCAUGGGUUGCAGCUUGGAUUCAAUCUCUGACCCAGGAACUUCUAUAUGCCAUGGGUGCAGCCAUAAAAAAAAUAAGCAAAACUUUUCAUUUUCUAGUGCUUGUUGAUGAUAUAUAGAAAUAUAACUGGUCUUUUGAUAUUGAUUUUGUAUAUUGAUUUUGCUAAUCUCUCUUGAUGAUAAAUUUUUAUUUGUAGAAUUUUCUGCAUACACAAGCACAUCAUCUGCAAAUGUUAACUCUUUUAUUUCUUCUUUUCCAAUUCAUAUUCAUUUCAUUUCUUUUUCCUGCUUUACUGUACUGGCUGGGACCUAGAGUAUAAGAAGUAAGUGGUAAGGGACUAUCCUUAUCUUAUUCCUGAACUCAAUACUUUCAACAAUUCAACACUAAGAAAGACAUUGACUACAGGGUUUUGAUAUAUCAUUUAUCAGAUUAAAGAUGUUUCCUUCCAUUCCUAAUUUACUAAAAGUUUUAAAAAUCUCCAAUGGGCCUUCCCGUCGUGGCACAGCAGAAACAAUUCUGACUAGGAACCAUGAGGUUGCAGGUUUGAUCCCUGGCCUUGCUCAGUGAGUUAAGGAUCCAGUGUUGCCAGGAGCUGUGGUGUAGGUCACAAACAUGGCUAAGAUCUGGCAUUGCUGUGGCUCUGGCUUAGGCUGGCAGCUGUAGCUCCAAUUAGACCCCUAGCCUGGGAACCUCCAUAUGCCAUGGGUGCAGCCCUAAAAAACAAAAGACAAAAAA
ensembl:lncRNA